rfam:Candidatus Scalindua brodae SCABRO_contig000225, whole genome shotgun sequence.
AGCUUAUCAAGAGUGGUGGAGGGAAUGGCCCUGAGAAACCACAGCAACCGAUCCUGGCGGAAUGUCAGGAUAUCGGUGCUAACUCCUACCUGCUAGGGGAAGAUAAGAU